rnacentral:lncRNA from 1 species
UUUUGAAAGAAAAUAAAGCGAGUUCCCUUGCAACGAGAAUAAUCCGAUACCGCCGGCUAGCCGUGUUCAUUCAACUUACAACUUGCAAAUUUGAGUUGAUUUUUCCGUCACUUUACAUAUUUUAAUGUAUAUGUCACAGCUUUUUUUAAUGCACAUUCCACUGGAAACAACGGGUCUUCUUGAGGUUACAAGCACUUGGGCUGGUCCCAACAACCUACACCCAGGAUGAGGAGAAGAGGUUUCAUACUCGACAAGCGAUGGCCUUUCCAUUUCUUUCACGAGCAGAAAUAAUACCGAGUUCCAAUGACUUGGGCAUCAGAGCAGCAGUCCCUUGAUCGAUGAGCUCUUUGAGACCACCUGAAUUGCAAGAUCUGUAUGGCCAGUUUUUGUGUGACAAAAUAAAAGAUGAGGAAGGGUUGAAAAUCCCUCCAGCUAAGUUAGGGAUCAUGUAAUUGCCAUGGAAACCAAAUAUAGUAAUGUAUAACAGGUUGUAUAUUCCUGAAAGUGCAAUUGUUGGAUAAAUGUUUAUGUAUAUUGGCACUAAUGUAAUUUUAAGGUUGUCCUUAUUGUUAGCUUUACAUAAACACCAAAAGCAGAGGAUAUUGUUCCCAGUUGGAAUUGUGUCAUAUUUAUUAUCAUAAUGGUAUUAUCAUAAUUGUGGUAAUGUAAUCCUAUUUGAAAUUUUUAACCAGUAUUUAUUUUGUGUGGGAUAUAAUAUGUUUUAUAUACAAUGAAGUUCAAUGUGUGUUACUAUGUAAUUUUAGAUCUGAUCAAGUUUACCUUAAUGUUACUUAAUAAAACCCACUUAACUCCAAAGAAGUAUUUUGAAUAUUUGGUUCUUGCACUAUUUUGUAUCCCUUUUCUCGCUGAAUAUUUACCUUUUAUUGAGAGCUGUGGUGACGGGUUCCAUGACAUUUGCUCUGGCAAAUUCCACGCCAUAAUCUUAUGAACAGCUUCAACCAGUAAGGUCUAAACCUAACUUAAAACCAUAUUGCAACCCUGAACCUCUAUCUUAAGGGGCUUUCACAAUUGCUUGUGCGAUUGUUUGCGAUCACUUGGUCACAAUAUAUGUUGCACAGAAUUGCAACGGUGAAGGGUCGUAAGUAGUCGCGCAACCAAUUGUGAAAGGGGCUUUAGACAAAAUUAAGCCUGGGGCAAUUGUCGCAGGAGCAAAUGUUGUGUCAAAUGGUAAUCAGAUGGAGAUGAUUGGAGAGAUGAAGAUGGGGGGGGGGAGGAUGAAGAUGGUGAAAGGUGGG